rnacentral:miRNA from 1 species
GCUGUGGGCAUCUGGCACUGUGGUUCCCGUGGGAGAGCAAUGGCUGGUGUGGUCUGGACCUACAAUACUACCUCUGCUGUCACAGUAAAGUCUGCC